CGAACGAUUCCCAUCUGCUAUGCUCGACACGAAUUUUAACUGGUGACGAACUCACGGUGAAUGUCUGACGAAGAAAGUUGUGGACUGACAUAGAUCGAAGCCGAUUCAUUAAUUCAAGAAAAUUAUUUGCUAUAUUAAUACAUCGUACACAUCUUACACAUAUCGUGCACACGCGAGUUUCACCCUUUCGCUGUACCCUAUUCGCGACUCACCUCUACCUUAACUUCUGUCUCUCUCUUUUAAUAUUCGAAUGGAAAUUUACAUUAGAAAUAUAUGAAAGUUUGUUCAACGACCGUGUAAAAUAAAAAUUAUAUUAAUUAUAUGCAUAUACACUAAUGAAGAAUGAUUAAAAAGAAAGGAAAAGCCGAUUGCAAUUUCUACUCGACACACGCGUUUAUCGCUACCGCCUAUCUGAAUGGAAUGUAAUGAUGAAUUCGACGAAUCUCGUUCGAAAAUUCCGUCAACGAUACAAAUCAAACAAUACGAAACAUUUUUCAAUGAAUCAACGAUCUGAAUAAUGUAAAUUAAUUCUACAUUUGUAGUUUACAUCAUAUCGGAUUAUUCAGAUAACUUUUGCACAAUUUCACUGACCUUAUCUGAUGUUCCGUGAGAGAGUAACGUCCACGCAACACUUUUAAGGUAUGAAAGAAAUCAUUAGCCAUCAAACGAAUAUCGUUAAUCGAGCAAGGAAUAGCCACAAGCGAAGAAAAGAACGAACGAAUGUACGAACGAGCGGAAGAACAAACAAACACUAGAUAUACCUUGGAAACUUUCUCCUAGUCCGAAUCUACCGAUCCUUCUCCUCUUAUGCCACCUCAAGCCUUUUGCAAGCGAUACACCUCAGAAUUGUCACUCGUGCCGUCGUCAGUCUUACUUUUCCUUUCUUCUCCUUCUACUCUGCUUCGUUCAGUGCCCCUCCUCUUUACCCUUUGGCUCUCUUUCCCCUUCCUUGAUCGCUCAAUCAUACUCGACCCCCCAUCAACCACCUCAUUUCUAUCACAUUAUUUCGUCCCUCAUUUUUCUUAGUUUUCCUUUGCUUCUUUUCUCCUAUUAAGUUAUUUCUUCGAUCUGUGAUUUUCUGAUUGAUUGUCCUAUACUCUCGUCAUAUGUGCUCUAUAAUUUAACGAGUUUAAUAAAAUUCUAUUUAUGAAAUCGGAGGUAAGUAAUUUGUCGGUUAUUUUAAAUAGCUAAAAUCGAAAUUGGAUAGAACGAGAACUUCAAGCGACGCGAGCAACCUAUGUUUCUUGUUAAAAGAUCGACGAUAGGAAAAGAGAAAGGCGAGAAAGCAAGAAGAUAGAUAGAUAGAAGAAGAGAAUUUCGGUCGUUUCAAGUAUUUAAAGCAUCUGAAGAAGUAUCGGAAUCGCGUAUCUUGACUUGUUUUAAAAUAAUUUGGCCGAUAAUCGAACGGACGUUCGCAAAACUAGACGUUUCGAUUACGACACAUUCGUCAGCAAACAAUCUUUGCAAGUAUGGCAAAAUUCGUCUGUUCGAAUUCUGUGCUUGAACAAAUAAUAUCCCGUUUAAACGUAUACUACCGUUAUAAGGUCAUGAAUCUGCUUUUGAAUAUAUUCGUAUACCAUUGGCAUAUUUUUAAACGUAUCAUGCUCUAUUUAUGUAUAUGACUAUUUCACGUGAAAUAGAUGGCGAGAAGCAAACACGUCACAAUUUCUUUACGCUUAUUGAUUUAUUGUAAUUGUCAGCAUGUUUUCUCACAUACGACGUAUGCUAUGGCAACCGGAUUUAUAUGUACGUUUCUGGGAAAAAUUAAUAACCUCCUAUUAGAAGUACUGUUUUUAAUGCUAAUAGUUAAUAAUUAAUAAUUUAUGAUUAUACAACCUUUAUCUGCAUAUAUACGUAUGCAUAUUUAUAAUCUAUUUCUAUUUCUGUACAAAAAUAUAUAAGAACGGAAGUACAAUUAAAAUGUAUACAUAUAAGUAUAGAAAAGGCGUGAGUUAUAUAAAAACGAUUUGCUUAUAACGAACCGCGGAAAGAUAAAAUUCGUUGUUGCUUGCAGCGAAUUGUAGUAGAAGCACGAAUCUUUGCGUUACUGUAAGUUUUAAGCGAACUUUGUUUCGCAAUAAAUAAACAAAUUAACAAUGAUGUAAACAUUUUUUCAAGUAUAUAAUUUAUCAUGCUAAUUCGAAUAUACUUAUGAAAAAACGCCACUUUUUCUAACAUUUAUGAGAUUGAUUUACUAAAAUCGCGUAUCUUUCCACGCAAGGAUGUAUGUAUAAUGCAUAUAGUUUAAACGUCACAUGAACAUCAGAAGUAACUUGUUUGCAGCUAGAUACGUCAGUGAUUAGCACAUUUAUUAUUAAUUCUAGGAUUUGUAUCGAUAAAAAGUUGUAGAUCAUGUAACGUUACCAAUGCAUGUUGUAUUUAUAUUGAAUUCUAAUAAAUGUCAUGAGUUCGUGCAGCACCUUUUUCUUCUCUCCUUUUCUUAUAGCAACGUUUACAUCAAUCAUAUAUAAUAACGGAAUAUUUUAAAUAUUAAUUACUAAAAUGUAUAUAAUCUUUUUCAGAAUUAUAUUAUUAUAUGGACGGAAUAUUGCUUGGGUUUUAAUAUUAAAAUGAUUUUUCAUAGAAGACAUUCGCAAGGUCACUUAAAACAAGGCACACAAACGUCCAUUAUGUAAGAUUAUUCCUAUAGGUUUAAAAUUUCAGAUACGUAGGUACUUACUUUGUGGUUAAUGAGUGUGUAUGUGCGUGAAUGCGCACAUCGGAUGGAGGGAAAGAAGUAUGAGUAAGUAAGCGAGCAAGUGAGAGAGAUGGAAUCCGAAGGAGAUGGUACGCGUGGGUGUAAAUGCACGCUCGUGUAUGUCUUUAAAGAAAUAACAGCAGAGAUGGAACAACAUAAAAGAGAAUGAAAGAGGAAUGUGUUUGUGUAUGUAAUGUACACGGAACAAACAAAACGUCAGCUCGAAGUCGAUAUUUGCUGAGUAUGGAUAAUCGUAAGAAUGUGCUUCGUAAAAAAAAAAA